GACGAACGCUGGCGGCGUGCUUAACACAUGCAAGUCGAACGGAAAGGCCCUGCUUUUGUGGGGUGCUCGAGUGGCGAACGGGUGAGUAACACGUGAGUAACCUGCCCUUGACUUUGGGAUAACUUCAGGAAACUGGGGCUAAUACCGGAUAGGAGCUCCUGCUGCAUGGUGGGGGUUGGAAAGUUUCGGCGGUUGGGGAUGGACUCGCGGCUUAUCAGCUUGUUGGUGGGGUAGUGGCUUACCAAGGCUUUGACGGGUAGCCGGCCUGAGAGGGUGACCGGCCACAUUGGGACUGCGCUACGGCCCAGACUCCUACGGGAGGCAGCAGUGGGGAAUAUUGCACAAUGGGCGGAAGCCUGAUGCAGCAACGCCGCGUGCGGGAUGACGGCCUUCGGGUUGUAAACCGCUUUCGCCUGUGACGAAGCGUGAGUGACGGUAAUGGGUAAAGAAGCACCGGCUAACUACGUG
rnacentral:rRNA from 1 species